rnacentral:lncRNA from 1 species
AAAUUUCCAAUCAUAAUAUAAUAAGCAAUAGAAAAACCAAUGCCUAAGAAUUACCACUUUUAGUCAUUGAUCCCACAUUGAUCAGCCAACACACUAAUAUGAAAUAGCUAUGAAUGAGUCUUCAGUACGUCAACUUUUAUCGAGAAUAACUUUUGAAUUAUCUGAUAAAACAUUCAAUUUAUUUUAUUUGACAGUUUAGUCGUCAAAUAUAUAAACUGCUUCAUUAUUACGUUAGAAUUAAUGAAAUCUUGAAGGCAAGGACUAAAACAUGCACUUUAUAAGAGUUUAGGACUAAAAUAUAUAUGUUUUUAAAGGUCCAAAAUACAACAAGAUACAAAAUUUAAAAAGUAAAAUAAAAUUUAAACCUUCUUAUCAUUAAUUACAUAAUUAAUCAAUACUUAAAUGAAUAUAAUAUACAAAAUUAAAAUUUAGAGACUAGUAGCCACUAAUUUAAAAUCUAAAGACUAAGCUUGAAAGGUAACAUAUUCAUAACACUCGUAAGUACUAAGGAUAAGAGCUUUCGUGUUCAAAACUCGCACUUUCAAUUUGUAAUAUAUAUGUAUAUAGGACAAGAGAUUUCGUGUUCAAAACUCGCACUUUCAAUUUGUAAUAUAUAUGUAUAUAUGUAUGAUCUAUUGGUUACUAACAUUUUAAUAAACUAAUAUAAUAUAAAUUAUCAUAAAUAAAUACGUAAAUAAUAAAAUUAAAAGGAUAAAAAUAGUCUAGUACAUCUUACAUUACACUCAUGUUCGUUCAAUCAUCUAGAUUUCUUGAUAAUAAGUCUACCACAUGAGACAGACCAUUCUUAUUGUCUUCUUUCUUGCGCUCUCUCUAAACACACAAAACAUGGUAAAAUGCACUAAAGAAAAACUCAAAAUAAAAUAAACCCAUCUCCUAAAAACACAUGCCCACUUCAAAGAUAUAUUACUCCAAUAAAUUUAGUUUCCAAUCCACGAGCCUUCAUGGACCUGAAGGUUAUAAUAUUACUAACCGCGGCACUCUGGGGGACUUGGGAUGCCACAUUUGGAAGGCAGAGCCAAAGCAAUGGUUGCAUUAAUCCCAGCGGAUGGGAGGAUGGAUUUGAGGUUGCACAAACACUUGAGGUCGGCAGAACGAAGAACUGAACAACAACGUUCUGUUGGCGGUUGCAGCGGUUUUCCAUGCAAAGGAGCCACUGCUGGUCGGCACACACACAGCUCCUUCGUGUCAACCUUACACAAAAGAGUGGCGGUAGUCUCCGCUAAAACCAUGACUAAGAAUAAUAAUCUUAAAAAUAACGCCACCGAAGACUUGUUGUUUGUCAAUAUCAUCGCCAUUGUUUGGAAAACAAAAAUUUUAAAAAGGAAUGAACUUGUGUAAGUUUGAUAAGUUAUGAUCAAAGGGUGGUGAGUUGGGAUGGUAUGGAUCAGGAAGGGUUUUUAUAGGUAGGGACUUCGAAGGGAAAAGUUUAGACUUUUGAGGUUUGUUCUUAUUAUAAUUAUUAACUUUCCCUAGGUGUCCGUUUUUGGGGUCACGGGUUGGGAUUGGAUUUCUACCCUCUUUGAAAAUCUGUCUAUUUUGGUCCCGUAUUUAAAUAAACAACUGCAAAGUUGUGCUACCAAACACAAAUACUUCAUUGAGGUACUAAAGUAUUCGUAUCAAAUUUGUAUUUAAAUACUGAAUUUCAAAUGCAGCUCAGUUUCAUAUGCAAGUGAAGUGAUCUCGAAAUGCUCAUAUAAAAACAUACGAGUGGGGGCACAUCUUAUAGAAUGAGAUUGUAUAAGACCAAAACAUAAAAUAUUCACGUUUACUUUAUAUAACAAUAUUGUUUACUGUUUAAGGCGCCUCACAUACUAUAGGGUUUAGAGUUUAAUUUGAGUAAUAGUUUAAAUGGUCUAUACUAUAGGAUAAGGUUGGAUGCCUCAUUCUAUUAUGGGAACACUGUGGAUGUACACUAGAAGAAAAACCCUCUACUAUGCCAUUUAUUUAUAUCACAAAAUAGAGGGAGGAAAAAAAAAUGUCACGAAAGGGAAAAAAACGCGUUUUUGGCGGGAAAAGACGGAAAUUUUCGGAAAAUAUUUUUCGCGACAGUUAUUUGAUGUCAUAAAAUAGAAUUAAAAUAAUAAUAAAAUAAUAUAUUUAAUAUAAAAAAAUAAUAACUUUUUUAGGGAUUUUUAACUUAUUCCCUUCUCCCCUUUCCCCUUUCUUUCGUCUUUCUCCCCUUUUGCCUCCCCUUUCUGCUUUCUCCCCUUUCGCCUCCCCUUUCAGAUUUCUUCCCUUUCGCCUCCCAAUCUUCGAACUCCUUGAACUCCCUUCUCCAGACGACGACGAGGUCCAUCAUCGGCACUGCCCCCUCGUGGCCAUCUCCCCACUCCAACGCCGCCUGUACCUCUUCUACUACACGACGAACGGGCUACGACCACUCUUUGGAGUCUACCAUUGAAGCCUCCAAAUCUCGCCUUUCUCAGAUUCGUUCCACCUCUUAUCCUCAUUUCCAAAAGGCAAUUGUAAUUUCUUCAUCCCUUAUUAUUACUUGAAUAAAGCUUUAGGCUAUUUGCUAGAUUGCAUUUGAAUAAAGCUUUAGGCUAUUUGCUAGAUUGCAAAGUGGUUUCUGGAUACAAAAUCCCAUGGUCGAAAUUUAAGAAGAAUCGAGUUCUUGCUCCUGCCGAUUUUUUCAAUUAAACUUGAAACUCAAUUCUCAACAUUGCAUCUAAGAUAUGUUCUUCACAAAUUUUUGUAUUUAUUCCUUAAUUUUUCUAGAUUUCUGGCUGCCACUAAGUAAAUGAAUAUUCUUUCUUUUGUGUUGCCCACCAAUUGUUUGAUGAAAUGCCCAUGGGAGGAAAUCUUGAUUAUUGAAUGUACAUAGGAGGAAAUCAUUUUAGAAUGUUAUUAUAGUGGAAUCCUGGUGAACUAGAUAUUAUUUUAAUGGUUCUAAUUUUAUUAGUGGGGAUAAGACCCUUUGAAUAAAAUUUUGAUUAGUUAAAACAUAAUCAUAAUUCUUUAUGAUUAGUUAUCAUGUUUUUUCUUGGAGAAUAUUGACUUUUUGUUGAUACUUAAAUCAUGUUCUUAGUGAUUGUGCUAGUUCCUUCCCAUUUCCCUACUCCCUCUCUCUAGUGUGUGUGUUUGCUUUGAUCAAUUAAUGUGGUACAUAUCUGGUGGUAUUUUAUUUAGGUUUGUGAUUUUGGACUUUCAGGCUUGAAGUCCUUUAUCAAACUCCUUUUAAAGGUAAAGUUUGUUGUAAACUCUUUUGAAAAGAUCCAUUUGUAAAAGGUUAGAUUCACAUAUUUGACACAAUUCUUUUCAAUUGAGAUCCUCUUUAUGGUUCUCCCCCAACAUGGAUCACUUAGCGGUGUCAAGCAUUGUUCCUGGUGGUUCAUUACCUAAUAUAUUUUUCCCAAAGAUGCAUGCCAAGUGCGAGAUUUUCUGUUAGUAUUAUUUUAUGAUCCCAAUAGUCUCUCUCUUGAGAAAUGAGAAUAUUGAUCUGGAAGUAUAAAUUCUAAUUGCCCAUAGUAUAGAUCCCAAUGUAUAUCACUUUUAUCGAGACUAGAUGUUGUCUUCCUAUUACCACUAUUUAUGAAACUGAUAUGACAAUGAAAGUUCUAAUGGACCAGUUGAGACAUAGGAUAUAAAUAAUGCAACUUUAUAGAUCACAGAGAAAAAUUAUUUCAUCUUAUAAGUUAUAUUAAGUUGAAGGUAGUGGCUCUCUUAUCUUAACCUUUUUUAGCAAAGGAAAAAAAGGAAAGAAAAACCCAAAUCAAUAUCAUCAACCAUGAACCCCAUAAAGUCAUUUUACGUACACUGAAAAAGUUGCAUUCAAAAUGGCUUGGGUCUAAGUUGAAGAUAUUACAAAGAGCAAUUUCUAAAUUGGCAAUAUGGUUGUAAUGCAGCCACAAGCGAGUUGGAAUAUGCAUUUGUUGAGGUACUUUUUUUAGAUUAUUUUUUAUUCUUGUUUUUUUAUUCUUUCUAGUACUUCGGCAAAAUGCUCGUUAUUGUUUUGCAGUGCAAAAACUUAAUUGCUGACGUUGGGGAUAUGAUGAGCGUCCAAGUGAUUGUUGAAGGAUCAAUGAAUAGUUUGAACCCCUACUUCUCAAGCUCUUGGCGACGGGACUUCGUUGUAAGUGUUCUUCUAGUAAACAACCACAACACAAUUUUUAAAUAUUAUCUAUGCUGUUUUCAUUUUUCCCAUCAAAUCAUGAUUCAUGAUUGCCACUUUUACACUUUUUCAUGGAAGAAUAUGUUGUUCUUAUUAUAGAUGGAACUAUUGUAUAAUGGAAUGCCCAAUAACAAGACCUCUACAUUUAUAUCUAUGUUAUCUCUCUCUCUCUUUUUGUUCUUUUUAUCCCGAUGAUGUAUUCUUAAAUUUUAUCUUUCAUUGACAACAUAUGUCUUGUGUCAGAGGGGUUUCAUUCUGGAUAUGGGCGUACACUUCAUUGCUGGAUUACGGAUGGUAACUGCCUUUGAAACUUUUUUCCUGUGAGAAAAAUAUUUGAGUUCUAUCCUAAUGGCUAUCACUUGCCCACUGAUUAACCAUUACUGUUUCUGCUCUUCUUUAAGUCCAAAAUGUUUAUAAUCUCAAAAUUGACAAAACCUAUAAAACCAGUACAAGUCUCAAGUACAUAAGAUGAGGUGGUGAUGAAUUACAAGCGUGACUGUCGCAAAGGCUCUGAUUUGUGGAAGAAGAAAAAACCACCUUUAGUCAUGCAUGGCAUUUAUGUUCCCUCCCCGAUGGCACCAUCCUUGAUAUGAUAUUCUUAAUUUGGAAAUGCUAGUUUCUUGUAUUUGUAAACAACUUGUUGGAUGUGAGGUGGUAUCAGUUUCAGCGACUACCUCCUAUGUGGAUAAGUCUUUACCUCCGCCAGAUAACAUAUCCUCGCUCUUGUAAGUUUCAAUUGCUUACUGCUAAUUAAUGAGUCACCAACAAGUUUGAAAACCUAGAAAUUAAGAAUGAGACAUUUUCCCCUCCUUUAGCCAACUGGAGAAUGGAUGUUCUGGUGUUUUCGUAAUGGUGUUUCUACUUGAUUUACAUCGUAAGCAGUUUUCUUUUUUCCAGGUUAAUCUUGUAAGAACUAAAGAAAACUUACCAAUAUUCGUUCUGCUUGCAAAGAUGAAAAUGUGAAGCUAUCUCCACCUCGACUUGUAUGUUAUUUCUACAUUGAGUUCCAAUUGUAUAUAUUUUAGUGUAUUGUGAAUUCGGUAUCCAAGAUGUAGAAUUCAGCUCUAGAACGUCAGGACACGAGUAGGUUGAAAAACUUUAUUAGCUUUUCCUAAGUAUGAUUACUCACAAUAACAUCUAAUUUUAAACUUAAAUGCAGAGAUGAGUCUUGAAGAAGUGAUAAGAUAUGUUGCAUCUGAUGAACUUAUUAAGGUAGUUUAUGCUUUAUUCAAUCAAAUUGUCUUUUCCAUCUUCAUUUUCUUUGGAAAUUCUUGCCAAUGUACUCAACUCGUAAUAUUCUGAUGCAAAAACUACACACUUAAUUAUUGCAUUGUGCUAAGACCAUAUUGAAAAAAAAAUGCAGCAAAAUAGAAAGGAAAAGAAAUUUCAAGAGGUAACUUAUGGAAGCUCAUUUGGGACUUCCAUGUCCAUGAAAUUACAACAUUAGGUAGAUGUCAUUUAUCUUGUUUGUUAAUUUCCAAUUUCUUUUCUUGGGGUUUGUAGGCUACUUUGGUUGAUUCCUUUCUAGCAGAUCUUGAUGAACUCUCUGAUGAACUUCUCCAUGUAAAUGAAGUAAUAAUUUUGUUGGUUGUGUGUGAGUGAAGUCUUUAAUUUGUUUGAUUUAGUUUAGUGGCUUUAAUUUGUUUUGUUAAUUUGAUGGCUUUAAUGGUUGUAAUGUUUUGCUUAUUUCUUUUAGCCUCUCACUUUUAAAAAAUUGUUUGUUUCAUUUCCACCACUCAAGUCAGGUAAAUGGAUUGAGUUAAGUUACAAGACUCUGCACGAAUUUCUCAUAAUACUUAGUUAUCCAUAUACAAAAUUUAGGAUACCUAUAUUAUAGUGUACUUCAGGAAGCUAAUGAAGCAUUUAAUUAUUUAUGUCUCUUUAGGAGUCUCACAUGUAACUUAAGAAUUGAGUAAUUAGUCAGUUGACUUCCUUACUUGUUGAUGAUGCAAAAACUAUACAACUUUUUCUUCUAUUCCUUUCAAUUUGUAUUGAACAAAUGGAGAAUCUUACAAGGGUAUUCUUUGUCACGUGCCACAUAGGAUAAUGUUGGGCACUUCAUUCUAGUAACAAGCUCUAGCCCUAAAUUGUUGCAAGCCAGCAAUGAAUGGUACAUUGAUAUAUGUAUGUUUUGACACGAACCCCUUCAGUUGCCCAAUCAUCUGCAUUCCACAAACUGGUAUAUAUUCUUAUUCAUUGCUUGUUAGGAAAAGCUAUUCCUUGAUUAUCGUAGUUGCGCAAAACUCUGAUUGAAGUGCAAUUUGGCUAACUGCAUUUCAGGCCUUUUUUUUGUCAUGAACCUGAGUACUUGCUAUAAUCUUACUCUCUGUUUUAAUAAUCCGAGAGAAUUGGUGCAUAAUUAUUCAUAGUUCAUAGAUUUGUGAUGAUUGUCUAAUACAAACUCUUGAGCUUUAAGGACUAGGAAUUGUCAUAGCUUUUUUGUUGUAAGGACUAGGAAUAAGGAUAUAUUUGUGAUAUUGGCUUUCCAUUUUUCACUCUUUGAUGAUUUGUUAUUAAUCAAUUUUAGUGGUUAUAUAUACUAAAACAAACUAUUGAAUUGCAAUGAUAGGUAAUGCUCAAUGUUGAAAUUUUCUAUAAGAGUUGUACUCUCUUGUCCUAUCAUGGAUGCUUAUAUUCAUGUUGUCUUUGUAGGUUCAACUGGAGUCGACAACUUCAUGAGUUUUCUUUCAAAGAACAUUUCCAGAGACGAACAUUCUCGGUUGGUCGUUUAUGCUUCUGCAUAAAAUCUUGUUAGAUGUAUUCUAAUGCUAUUUAAAAUAUUUUUUGAUUAAGGGCUAGGAUUCCGUACAUGUGGAUUGUUGAAACUUGUAUGGAGAUGUACAAAUAUUAUAAAUUGUAUUAUAGUGUAUAUAUAUUAAAGUGUUGGCUAUUUUUUUCUACAUGGGUGUCAAUAUUAUAAUUCAAAAUUGUCAUUCUCAGCUACAUUAUUGUCAUUCAAAUGGUUCGUGUAAUGGUGGAGCGGCAAGGACAACAGGAAAAAACGUAGUAAAUUGAGAAAUGUGCAACAUGAAAUAAAUGACGUAAUAAAUGAAUUUGUGACAGUUAUUACUUGUUGUAAAUUGGAGAACGAUGAUAUUUAACAAAAUAAAUUGUCACGAUUGCCCUAUAUGUGACAGAAUAAAAUGUCGUCAAUAGAUAAACAAUGACAAUUUUUUUUUAAAAGAACUGUCACGAUUGCAAUAUAUUUGACUGCAAAAAAAUGUCGUCAAUAGCAAAACAAUGACAUUUUUAAAAAAAAAAAACUGUUGCGAAUAACAUAUUCAUGACAAUUAAAAAAUGUCACAAUAAAUGAAUUCGUGACAUUUAUUUAACCGUCGUUAAUACACAAAUGAUGAUAGUUAUUUGUUGUCAUAAAAUAAAAUAUGACAGUUAUUUGAAGUCGUUGAAUGUUGAUUAACGACAUUUAUUUCAUGUCAUAAAAUAACCUAUUGCGACAGUUUUUAAAAACUGUCGUCGAAGGACUUUCCAUGACUCCCGCUUCUAUGACUGAAAAUAACUGUCGUGAAAUUUGUUUACGACAGUAAAUAACUGUCGUCGUAGACCACUUUUCUACUAGUGGUAGCUCACUAAUUUGUAUUUAGUACAAGCGAAGUGAUCUCAAGAUGCUCAGGUAGAAACAUGUGAGUGCAGACAUUCUAUAGAAUGAGAUUGUAUAAGACCAAACCAUGAAAUAUUCACUUUUACUUUAUAUAACAUCGUUUACUGUUUAAGACUACCUAUUUUCUACUUUCUGAUGACCAAAGUUACUCAACCUUAAUUCUGAGCUAACUAUGAACUUUUGUUCACACUAGAUUCUUCUUAGAUUUACAUAUAGGUGAGGGCAGAUCAUCAACAUUGACCCAAUAAACCUUCCAUUUUAGAGGUAAGAUCAUAUGGAUAGUUGAGGACGCUUAGGGUGCUAGACAAAAUUCACCCUAGCCUCCCUUUUAGAGUUAGAAGAUAGAUUGUUCCUUUAAGUCCUUACUCCAAUUCUUGAACAAAUGGGUUCACCGUCUCAUUGGCCCAGAUGGAUUCAAUUUAAUUGUAGGACUAUAAAUCAAUUGUUUAUUAGAGGAUCAAUGAACGUUUAAGGAAUAGAUUGUAAUUUUAAAGGUAAAACGAUAAAUUGACCCAACCGAGAUUAUGAAUAACCUGUAAAGAAUUGAUUUACUCAUCAUGAUUAUAUCAGGUGGACACAAAUAUAUCUACAGUGAGAGAGUACAACUACAGGCUAUAGUGGACAGUCUUAAUUAGUUAACAAAUGUUGGUUAACUCAGUUAAAAGAAUUUAGUCAAUUGAUCUCGAAUCUGAGCCUCUUGAUAUGUAGGUUCAUUAAGUCACCCUACCAAUUCACUACGGAAAUAAACUUAGAAUAGUGUGAUUAAGACGUUUGAAUUGUUCAAAUUAGUUAAAAAAUAUAUCUCCUUGGUAAUAAUUGAUAUAAUUAAGGAUUGCUAGAGAAAUUGUGUUUAAAUAAGGAUUGAAAUAUCCGAAAUUCGAGUAGGGAUUUGAACUAAAUCAAUGGGAUGGAUCAAAAUUCACAGUGGAAAAUAAUAAUAUAAUAUUAAUUAAUAUAAUUAUUUAAUUAAAUAAAUAAAUCUUAGAAUGUCAAAUAGUUUUGUGUUUGGAAAUUCAUUUUUAUGAUGUCAAAACUGUUGACUUUAUGGGUUAGUGGAUUUUUUCCAACUUCUAGUGCAAAGGAUGAACAAGCUGCUUCAACCAUGAAGCUCUGUUCUUUAACUUAAACCACAAAUCUCAUUCUAUUCAUCCUAAAUUUGAUCCCACCAUCAAGUUCUAAGCGUUGAGAAUAGUAGGAAAGGACCCGAGGAUUAUUUAUAACUUGAUUUCAUUAAAUUUCAUCAACUAUAUAUACAAAGAAUUUUGAGCUACAAUCAUAUGUGUCUAAAUUUUCAUUUCCCCUCAAUUUCGCUAAUAUGUUUAAUCCUAAAUUCAUAAAAUUUAGUAUUUUUGUUCGAUCCACUUUCGUUAGUAUGUUAAUUCAACUUUCAUGCACCUAGUAUUUCAAUUUAUUUGAAUCAAAUAUUGAAUUUCAUUUUUUUAGUAAAAUGUUAAAUACAAAUUCAAUCGCGAUAAAUAUGAGGAGCUCACACAAUUUCUUUUAAUUUUAAAAAGAUUCACUAAUCUCUUUUGUUUGAUGUAAUAAGUAGUAGAAUUUGAAUCAUACAUAUCAGUUAUGCAUAUAUAUUUUAGUUGGUCUAUACUCACUUAAAAGUAUGCAUAAACAAAUCAACAACUUAAUUAGGUUUCACAGUUGAGAUAUAUGUCUGAUAUCCAUUUAAAAAAGUACAACAAAUUAUGUGCAUGAGCCAAGUUUAAGAAUUUUUUCUUUAUUAAAAGAGAAAAAAAAAAAAAAAAGGACAAGGCCAAAAGUACACAAACCAUUCAAAUUGAAGUUCUUUCUCCUUUUUAAAUCAUCCAUUUUACUUCGAAUAUUCAUACUUCUCAGGUUGUGAAUUUGCAUGGAAUGAGAACAACUCAUUCCAUAGUUUCUUAAUUGAUUAUUUAUGGUUGUAAAUCAAACUUUUGUUUUUCUAAACUUUCUAUGCCAUAAUUUUGUCUAUACAUUCCCUAUAGAAUCCUUGAAUUUAGUAAUACUAAACGGAAAUUUUUUAGCUUUCUCUAAAAAAAUAAAUAAAUAAAAUAAUAACUAGUACACCACUAUUCGCACAAGAUUUUCGGAGAAAUUUGAUUCGUAGAGUUAAACUUUAGUUGAUGUUGUAUUUUUAUUGAUUUGAUACAAUGUGAUUCGAUCUCUAGAAUUUUAUUCUUUGAUUUUUUCUCGAUUUAAUGCUUAUGUUUGAUUUGAGUAAACGGAGCACGUGAUGUUCUUGAAGUUGAAGUUUUAGAAGAAAAUUUGUAUCUUCAAAGAAACUUCAAUCAUCGAGAAAAGUUGGAGUCUUGGAAGAAAGUUUGUAUCUUUAAAAGAGUUUCAAUAUUUGAGGGCGAUCGACCUCAGAAGUUAGGAGGGCGAUCGACCUCAAAAAGUUAGGAAGCUUUCUAGCUCUUUGGAGAAUUCUUUCUACACAUUCUAUAGUAAAAAAAUUUCAACACUUACAAAUAAAAACACUUUUAUUUAGAGAGUUCUCUUCUAGUGUUUAUGAACUUGAGAUUGAUUGGUCCAUGGACCAGACCCACAAAAUCAACUACAUGAAUUUGGGUCAUACUUAGCAUUUAGGCUCAAUUAAGUUUUUUUUUUAUAAUUGAACUUAGUCGUAAAUAAUAUUUAAUUGAACCAAAAUAAAUAACUUGAUCCAACAGUUAGGAUGAAAAUAUAUAUCAUUAACAGAAUUGACCAAUUUAAUUUUAAUUUGGAACACAUUCAUUUUUAAUUAGUCCCAAAUUCAACUAUUUAUAUUUUUCAUCAUUAAUUUAGUAAAUGACGUGGCAAUUUGUAAUUGGUCUAAAUAUUUUGUAAUCAUAGCCACAUAUUUUGAUUGACUUUCUAUAGUGUUUAUAAGUGAAAAAAAAAUGUUUAUAAAUACUAAAGGCCUUUGUACAUCCAUAAAGUAAAUUGUUGUAAUGCAAUUCAAAUCUCAUAUUUUAAAUAAGUUUUUUAAUUAAAAUACCAAACUCAUUUUGUUCCUACAAUUUUUCACUCAUUCCAACACCCUCCUACUCUCAAAAAUCUUGAUUAUAUUCUAACUUCCCAAACGAAUCCCUUGGAAAACAAAUCCCGACCUCUUGAAAUAGUAAUUUAUCGUUUUUUUUUCCAUUAUUAGUCUGUCGUGUAAAAGACAAUAAACAUAUUAGUGAUUAUUUGCUCGAAUCACUAAAAUGCAUUUUAGUUUAAUUUGUUAAAAGAAUUUCAAUUAAGAGAAUGGGAAAAAGAGGAAAAGGAAGAGAGAAUCUAUCUCCUACUGCCCUUCAUAGUCAAUCAAUCAAUGGACAUUGCACCAUUUCAUUUCAAUUUUAUUCCAUAGUGUUAAAUGCUCAGAUAUUGUGUUAAUUGACAAAACAACAACAACAAUAAUAAGAAUAAUAAUAAAGAAAAAGCUCCAUUUCUAGCCUUUCAAAUUUUGCUGGAGUUUUAAAAUAAAUAUUACAACCUACUCCAAAAGUAGUAAAGUAAACAUAACUUUUAAUCUAGAAGAUGAUUGGGAAUAGACCAACUCUUCAAAAUAAAGAAAAUGGAAAAACCAAAAACAAAAUUCAAAUUUUGUUAUAUUUUCAAAUUAUUUUGAAUGUGCAGAUUCUAUAUAUGAAUAAACCAUAAAAUUUAGAAGCCAAAUAACACAUUAAACCUUGUUUUACAAACCAGUUAAGAACAAUCACAUCUUCAAGAUAUAAUUAGAUGGUGAGAAACAGGCAAUCUGAAAAGAUUCAUGAAAAGCAAAAACAAAACUGAACACAGUAUCCCAAACACUAACACUGAAAAGAAAUGAAUCAAAUAAACUGUAACCAAGAAUAUGAAGAAAUGAUUAAAUGGAAGUAAAGAAGGCUAAACUUUUUACUAAAUAAAAACAUCAUACAUAUAUAUAUAAUAUAUAUAGAUAGAUAUAUUUAACAAACUAGUGAGUAGAUAACAUAAUUUUACUUUACCCAUCAUCAUCUGUAGUGUAUGAUGGAUGUUAGAAACUCCCAGGGGUUACUCUAAACCUAAACACCAAGUCAGACAAAUGAAAACCCAAGGACUUGGCAGACAAUUACAAAAUAAACUCUGCCAUAAGCCCCCAUUCUUACAUCCCCAAGUUCACACCUUACCUUAGCAUAAGAUCCAAAAGUAAAAUAUUAUCAUCACUGAUUACAACAUUAAGAGAAGGGGGAGAAAAAACCAUAUAGACUUUUCCAAACACUGUCCCAAUAUGUAAGUCGCUAACACCAUUCGAUCUGCAACUGCAAUCAAGGAUCAGCACUCAUUAGUUUUGUCCUGGCUAUUCCAUUCUUUGAUGCUUUUGAAAAAGAAAAAGAAAAUGAAACAAAUUCUUCAACCAAAGGUAAAGCAAGUAUGGAGCACAGCUGGCACUGCUGGAAAAAGCGGUCAGAAAGAAGGUAAUCCCUUCGGUUCUUUUUCUUUUUUUUUUUUUUUUUUUUUUUUUUUUUGUUUGAAGAAAAGGAAAAAAAGAAAACAACCGUCAAUUGAAAUUCAAAUAACCAAGGGCCCAUUUGAUUAUAAUUUUAGUUUUAGUUUUUGGAUUUUGAAAAUUGGACUUUAUCUCUCUUAAACAAAUAAUUAGAUUCUAAAGAUCAAAUUCUAAAAACAAAAUCAAGUUUUGUAAAAUUUGGCUUGGAUUUGAAAAUAUUUGGAGAAGUAUAUAACAAAAUAAUGGAACUCAUUGGUGGGAAUAACAUUUAAAAGCUUAAUUCAUAAACUUAAUUUUGAAGGACCAAAUUAUUAUUAAACGGGGCCUCAAGGGUGAAAAGCUAUGAUUGCACAAAAUAAAGCUUCAAAUCAUUGUGUCUUCAUUUACAGAUAAUCAAAUAAGGCAUCUAUGAACUCAAAAAGAAAACUUUGUACAAGAAUACAUUCCAUAUACUAAAUUUUCAGAUUUGAUUUGUGGAGACCAAAAUAAAUAAGAGACCUCCAAAUCACUAAUCUUUGACUUGACUUUCUAUUUCUAACUGAAUUUCCAAGUCCUAGUUUAUUACCUUAGGUUUUUUAUCCUUUCCAUAUGGCACAAAAACAAAAUAAUCAGUUUCAAGUAAACAUUUUCCAUUUCAGGGCUUGUGUUUGUUUCAACUUCAGAGUCCUGGGUGAAUUUAAAUGAGGUAAUAAUCAAUUCGACAGUUUUUCCUUUCAUUUUUUCUUUAUCCUGCCAUCAAUCCCAGCAAAUGGUACAAGAACAGAAUCCAAUUGAAGGUUCCCACAGACCCAUCAUAAAACUAAGACAAAAUCCCCAAAACUCUCAUAUAUUUAAUCCUAAGAAGAUAUCAAUAAUUUUCUUAUAACUAUCCUGCAUACUGCAUCAUAAAUUUCCAACUAGGACAAGUGAUAACAGGUUAUCAAUCAGCAGCCUCCAACACUAGAAGAAAUUUCAAUCAAUCAAAUAAUAUGUUUUUGGAAAACGUGCAUGAUGAUGAAGCCGGCAAGGAGGUCAAAUUGCAACAAUGGGGAAACUCAAAAUUACCCUUCAACUCUAACAUCAGUUUUAACAUAUAAGAAAGUUAGAAUGCACUAACCAUCCUAGAAGAAUAGCUAUCACGAUCUCCUAAAUAUAUGGUGGCGGCCUAAAACUUCUGGGAUUCCCAGUGCAGAAAUGCUUUCACAACCAAACAGUUCUCGAAGUUUUGCAUCGCACAACACCGCCAUCGGGUUCAGAGGGUCCUGUUUUUAAGAUCCAAGACAUGUGAGUACAAGAUCAUUUUAAUGAAGAAAAAACAGUUAAUCUGACAUAUGAGAACAAUGCCCCAUGUUUUAAGAUCCAUUACAGAGGGUCCUGUAUGCAUAAUUUUUACAAAGAAAUGAUCUCUCAAGUUGAAAAGAUGGUAUUAAUAGUGAAUGGCUAGCAUGCAACAAAGUGAAAGUUUCCAGAGUUUAUUUGCCAACCUCAAGAUGAUUCACUUUUAUGUAUUCCCAGAUGCGUCUCAGAACUUCUGAUUGGAGCAUCUCCCUACCAUCAACGCCAAAAAAAUUUGCUAGUGCUUCAGAUAUAAUCACAGAAGGACAAAUACUGGGUUCUGCACUUUUAACACUAACUGCGGAUUCAUUCUCCACUCGUGCCUUCUUAGAACUUGAUGGUUCUGACAGGAUUAGAAAAUAAACUAUUGGUUUCUUCCAGAACUAGGGGGACAGGGAAGCAUCAAACUGAAUACUUACUUGUAGGUUCAAGAGGAAUGAUGUGUUUGGCCAGCAACUUAUUCAUUUUGAACAUGUCAGUGCAGUCUGUUUCAAAUACCAACCGCAGCUCAUCAUUGCAUAUUAUUUUCCUCUUGUUACUUGGAUCCUGUAGGUUGUUUUUUCUGAUGUAUGCCCAUAGCUGUUUCACUAUCUGAAACAAACACAGAUGCAUCAUAUGAACCUCAUAAAGUGCUAAAAUUGAGAAUCAAACAACUACGAAAUAAGAAAGAGAUAGAAACCUCAGUUCGCGGUAAUUCUGGCUGGCCAACAAUAGCCUGAAGUUCAGGAGAAACACCACAAAGCUUGUUUAGACCCCCGGGGCCUCCUCUUCUCUUAGUUUUGGUUUGGGUACUGCUUUCAAGUUUUAAAGGUGAGCUUUUAUCAGUCGAAACAUAUAUCUUUGGGAUCUAAGAACUAGAGAGACGUGUAUUAUUUUAAUCUUUGAAUAAAACAGUAAAUGAAACAUUUCACCCUUCCAUGGAAUGAAAACUAAUUGAAAGAUUCUACUUCGUAGCUCUAUAGUACACAACAAAGUGUUCCAUACUUAUGGCUACCAGCUGGUAAUCGAUACUUAAAAAGGUAUCACUAGUAAGGCCAUUGAAAUCAUGAGAUUACAAGCUCGAAGCUACAUACAUUACUAGAUUGCAAAAUAAAAGUAAGCCCAGACUGGGAAGGAGCUAGCCGUUCACUUUCAAAAGUGUGCUGAGAGGUCAAAGCUACAGUGAUAUUUAUAGAAAAAUGUAUGCAUACGAUAAAGACUCCUCACAUGUAGAUGCCAUACAUUAAUAUCCAUUUCCAGUAAACUAGGGUAGCUUCCAUCUCUCAUUUUAUUAACUCCCUACCAAUCCACUACCAUGCUGAUGGACAAAUCCAAAGUUACAAAUUCCCAAGAUUUUUUUUUCCGCAUAUGGUAUCUGGCUGUGCUGACCAGACUAGAACCAAGAAUGCAAAAAUAAUACGAAUUAAAGGAAACAACCAGAAAAUAAAUGAAAACUCAGCAUGCUCGUAGUAGAUACCUAUGCACACACAUUUGACAAGGCAUCAUUAAGAGAAAAUUUACUUUUCCAACAGCCACGACAAAAGCAGAAAGUCACAUUUCUGACCAGAAAUCCUGAAUAAACUUCUCAACCCAGAGGAAAACGAAGCAGAACCUAGUCAACACUCAAGGGAAAAUUAACAAUAAACCCUCGAGUAAAACUAAGACCAACCCAAAUGCCACUAAUCAGUGAACUCUACACUCCAAAAUCCUCCAAACAAAGUCCACAGCAAGUAAACGAACAACUUCACUGCCUUUUCCGACCUAAUUCUGAACGAAUGAAGUAACCGUUGCAAAAAGGAAAAGGAAUAAGCAAAGAAAUCGAGAAGCCAUUCCACUAAUUCUGUAGAAUUGCAAUCAAAACAGAACGAAAUCAACUUCACUCCAGAAUUGAAACAGAUUUACACAAACAUACACACCCAAGACGAACAAUAAGUAAAUCAAAGAGGGCAACUAAAAAAAAUAAAAGAAACCCAAAACCCCAAAAUUGAAAAAACCAAAAGAACCCCACCUUUCCUUUGGCGGGUCAGAGCCCGGAACAGUGGGAGCAACGACGGAAUCCGGCUUAGCCGGCGGAGGCUGAGCAGAGAAAGUGUGAAACGCAGAGGAAGUGGGGGAAGGCGCAGAUUGAAAAUUAGGGCUUUGAUGAAGGGCAAAGAGGUCUUUCUGCGAAGAGGGUAGUUGUUGUUGCUGCUGCUGCUGAUGGUGGUGGUGGUGGUGAUGUUGGUGAUGAUGGGGUUGUUGAGGAUGAGAACGAAGGAUAAAUUGGAUCUGGGCAUGGAUGAAAUCGAGUUUAUGAGAGAGGUCAAGACCAAGCUUGGUCUGCAACUCCUGAACAACAGCGUUUAAAGAAGAAAAAGGGUUAGGGUUUGUAGGAGAAGCAGAGUCGCGAAGAAGACAUUGUAUAGCUUGAGAAAGCUCUUGGUCUGUAACCAUUUUAGCUUCUUGUAGCUCUCAAAAUUGCUUCAUAUAUUAACGGAAAUUAACGGUCCUUCUCUCUCUCUCUCUCUCUCAAGAACUCUCUCUGUCUUCUCUUUCUCUCUCCCUUUAUGUCUCUCUGCUUCUUCCUUUCUCUCUCUUUCUGUGAGAGUAGAAAGACAAAAUGACAAAGCGGUCCAUUCAUGAAGAAAAUGGAUUUUGUGAGUAACCGCAAGGGGCUCGGUGGGUGGAUGUGGGUGAGGUGACAGACCAAUCCCUUUUUGCCACGUUUACUCUCUCCUCUUUGCUUUUGGGGUUUUCACUUCCAUCUUCGUUUCUUUUUUCUUUUAUUAUUGUAUUGUGUAUUCAUUUAUCCAAUGUGUCUUGUCUUGCCCUAUCCCAUCCUAUGUGUAUUCUUAUGUUUGAAUUUUGUGUACAUCUUUCAAAGGUUUUGGAAUUUAUUAGCUUUUUCCAAGACUACUCUACUUUCAAAUCAUGAUGGAUGUGUGAUUGUGAGUUCAAAAAUAUCUCACAAAUGUUACCACUUUUAUUUCUGUUAUUUAGUUUCUAUAGUUGUUUAAUUGUUAGAUGUAUAAUGCAGGGGGUUACUAAGUUAUGGAUUUGGUAUCUUUUAGUCUAAGUUUCACCAACUACUUGGCUUAAAUAAUGAGUAUAAGUCAACUUCAUUUCAUCCUACUCUUACUCUUUUAUGCAAAACUGCCAUCAGAAGAAGACAAAAGCAAAGAGUUAAUAACCAUACAUAGUGACACCAUAGGUUUAAGGGGCUCUUCAACUUUUGGUUCUUAUAUAUAAUACAUAUAGAAAAAGGCUAGAAAAUUAACCAUACCAAAAGUAGCUUAAUGGUAAAAAAAUGUUUCUUAGCCCCUUCUAAAUUAAGUCUCACUUCUAACAUUUUUCUAGAUUAUUUUUACUAUACUAUAAAGCUUCCUCCAACAAAAUUUCUGAAUUCGCCAAUGGACAGUGAGAGUGGAAACCUCUCAUACAAAUGGUUUUCCUCCUUUAUUAGUGUAUAAGGGUGUCACUUGGUUAGCAUUUCUACCAUUUAUGUUUUAGGGUUAGUUUUUUUUUAUGGAAAAAGGGAGGAUUCGAUGGUAGUUAGGAUACAUUUUUUUAAUCACGAUGAGAUGGAUGGAUUUUUAUUCAAGAUGGUUAACCAAAUUUUUAACGGUGACAUUUGGUAUGUUGAAAUCUUUAAGAAUUCACAAAUUAGAAGGACUUUGACUUUAAAUUUAUGAUAAAUGGUUUUGUAGAUUUAACAUAUGUCAAACAUCACAAAUGAUAGCUUAAACAUGAAAUUAAACAUUGAAUCACUAAUUGGACACAACAAUGUGAGGUUGGUCUCAAGAAGGUAAAGACAAAAUGGGCAUUAAUAGAAAAAAUACUUUUAAUUUUGAUUUCGAUAAAAGUUUUAAUUUCAACAACAACGCUUAAAUGGUUAGAUUUUAUGUUUUAAACAUCGUAGAUAAUAAAUAUAAUCCAUUGAUCUUAUUGAUAAAGUGUAAUUAUUGUAAUUUCAAUCGUUGAUUAUUUUAUUAGUUUUGUCUUAAUAACUUAAAUCCAAUAAACUAACUUCCUAAGAUGCUUUAUUAAUAUUGAAUUGUAUGUAGAGACAUACAAGACGUUGAGAUUUAUGUCCUAAAACUCAUAGAUUAUAAAUAUAAUCCAUUGAGAGUUAUUAACAAACCGUUAUUUUUAUAAUUUCAAUAAAUGUUAUUGAUUAUAUUAUUAGUUUUGUCUUAAUAACCCAAAUCCAAUAAAUUAAAUAACCAAAAUCCUACAAACCAACAUCCUAAAUUGUUUGAUGAGUCUUGAACAAUAUAUAGAGACAUACAAGAAUCAAUGUUUGAGAUCAACUUAAAGGGUCUAUAGUAUAGGGAUAAGGCUUGGAUACAACUCACUUUGUAUUUAAUACAAACACAAUGAUCCAACAUGUUCGUGUAGUUGACAUACAAGCAAAGGUAUCCUAUACAAUGAGUUUGCAUAAGGUCAAAUCAUGAAAUAGUAACCACUAGAUGUAACUCCGUUAACUAGUUAGGUUUUUAUUUCAUUAGGAUGACCUAGGUAACUUAGUCUUAAUUCUGAGUGUGUUAUGAACUCCUAUUCACGAUGAAUUUUCCAUUGAUUUUUAUGAGUGAGAAUGACCAGAUUGCCGUCAAUAAACUUAUCAUUUUGGGGAACAUAAUUACACAAGAUGGAAUUCACUCAUUCCCUACUUUACAGUAAGUAGAUGAGUGUUAUCUUAAAUGGUGUCUCUAGAACUUAAACAAAGGGUCAUACCCUCUCUAUGGCAUAAGAGAGGUUUUUGUUUAUUGGUUGGACCAUAAACAAGUUCAUUAGAGGAGCACUGUAUUUAAGGAUUAGAGGUAAUUCAGGGGUAAAAUGGUAAUUCAACUCAGCUGGUGUUAUGAACACUCGUGAAUGACUAAUUUACUAUUAUUGGUCUAUAUCUAUGGACACAUAAAUAUAUCUAGAAUGAGAAGAAUUUAGCUGUGAGUUUUUAGUGGAAUAUACACACAGUUAACGAAUAUUGAUUAAUGUGGUUAAUGAGUUUAGCCAAUUAAUCUCAUAUCAUUGUAACUUCUGAUCUAUAGGUCCAUUAGGUCCCUUCGUAGCUCGUAAAGGGCAAUGAAGUUUAUUUAUAUUGGUUGUAACUUGAAAUGUUCAAAAUUACUUUGAGAAUUAGUUUAAUUCAUAGUGAUACAUUAAUUAUAAUAUAAAGUUUGAUAAACUUUAUUGUAUAAAUUUAAUUUUGGAUAUGAUUCAAAAUUAAUUUAUGAGAGAUAAAAUAUUUGAAUGAGUUCAAGUAUUAAUUUAAUGUGAAUUGGAUUCAUAUUAAAAUUAUUGGGUAGGAGAGAAACUUAUAUUUGAAUAUGAUUCAAAUUUAAUUUAAGUUAAAUAUAAGAUAUUUAAUUUAGCAAUUAAUUAAUUGGAGAAUUAAUUAAUAUUUUAGUUUGAUUUAAGAGGAAUUUUAAAAAAUAGCUAAGUUUACAAAAUAUUUAUCACCUAUAGCAAAUUCUAUCACCGAUAGUUAUUGAUAUGUUAUAGUGAUAUGAUAAAAUUCAAAAUUUUGCUAUAACUUGUAAAUAUUUUGAUUUAUUUUGCUAUUUUUAAAAAUGCCCCUUUAUUUAAUUUAAUUAAAAUUUAAUUAUAUUUGAUUUAAUUAAAUCAAUAUAAAACUAUAAAAUAUUAGAGAGAUAUUCAUUAAAUAAGAUUUAAAUUAAAUAUUAAAUAAAUAUGAUUUAAUUAGUUUUUAACUAAUUGAUUAAUGGUUAAUUAAUUAGUAUAUUUGAAAUUUUUAUUAAUUUAAUAUUUUUUAAAUUAAUAGAAUCUCGUGAUUCUCUCGUACUCCUACUCCCUUUUUAAGGAAAGAGUGUUAUAAAUAUCUAAAAGAAAAUAUUUUUCUUUAGCAAUUGAAAUAAGAAAAAAAACUAAUAAUUUGUUUUUCUGGAAAAGAGUUUCUCUAAAAUAUCUAACUUUUUUCCAUUUCAAUUGAUUUCCACAAACCAAUCUCAUCCCAUAGGAUAGGUGGUGUCUCAAUUUGAAAAUUUAUUUUCGUAGAUUUAGAGACGUCAAACAAGUAAAUUUUUUUUCUACACUACAAGAAAUCGGGAGUUUUUCGACGCAAGAAAAAUCAUUGGAAAACAUGUCGCCGGUAGAAGUCAAUGUUUUCUUAAGCAGCUUGGUCCAUGUCAGGGGAAGGCCUUUGCUCCGACGCAGGAACAUGAGCGUCAGAAAUGGCCGAAAUGGUUUAGGGUUCCUCUAACAUGGUGCUAGGUACGUCAGACAAUGGGCCCCUAUUUCCGACAUGUGUCGUGUCGCGUCGGAAGAUGGUAGACAAUUAAAUGCACCAUUUGGCCUUCCUUUGACGUGGUGAAAGGUGCGUCGGGCAAUGAGCCACUAUUUCCGACGUCUAUAGUGUUGUGUUAGAUGAAGGGCAGAUCAUUAAUUGUACGUUACGCCUUUCUCCGACGAUGUGUCAGCAACGUCGGGAAUAGUUUAGGGAUUCUCGACGUGUCACUUACAGCAUCGGAAAUAGGGUUUAGAGAUUUCCAACGUGUCACUCAUUGUGUCGGGAAUAUGGUGCAAUACCCAACGUUUUCAUUAUGCGUCGAGGUCUCCGUCUUUUUUUAACUCCAUUCUUUACAGAAUGAAAACAGAAAAGAGAAAGAAAACCGAGAGAAGGAGAGGCAAACUGAGAGGGAGAUCGUGAAGAAGAGGGCGCUCGUCGUCGUUGUCGUCCCCAUUGUCGUUGUCGUCGUCAUUGCAUAUCAGUAUACCUUCUUUGACGUGAUUUUUGUUUGAUUUACCUAAGAAAAUAGGAUUUUGAAUUAGUUUUUAUUUUAGGAUUUGGAUUUUGAAUUAUGUUUUAGUUCGAAAUUUAUGAAUUGGGUGUUUGAUUAAGGAAUCAAUCUUGCAUAUUUCUAUUUUAGAAAUCCAAUUGUGUGAAUUGGGUGUUUGAUUAAUGUAAAUAAAUGUUAAUGUAAUUGUAAGUUUGUUAAUGUAUGUAUGAAUGUAUAAAUAAAGUAUAAUAAUAGUAAUAUUAUUAUUAUUAAUAAUAAUUUUAAAAAAUUAAAUGAUAUUUCCGAUGCAGCACAUGCAUCGGGAUAAAGGACAGUUUCUGAUGCAUAUGCACUGUGUCGGGGGACCAUUUACCGACGCACCGUCUUCCAUCACAAGGAAAACGUCGGUGGAUCCCAAGAGGUAAACCGGCAAAAUAAGGGACAUCGCUAAAAACUACGUCGGAAGAUAUGAACUUCCGACGCACGCUUGUGGUGCGUCAGAGAUGGAUCUCCCGACACAAUUGUAUGGAUAUUAUAAAAUUUUGAUAAUUAGAAACCGUCGACCUAUAGUAAAGAGUUGCAUGCAAAAAUAGGAUCUUAUAAUUAAUUGUUGGAUCGGUAUGGCAACCCUAGAGGGGGGUGAAUAGGGUUUAAAUAAACUUUUUUGACAAAUAAAAAGUAAAAUCAACUAAUUAGAUACUUUUUAAAUUUAAAUAAAGAACUUUGUAAACUUUGUUAAAUAACAAGAUUGAUAAAAAUAUAUGAAUGGAAGUAUGCAAUCAAACUCAACCAAUAAGAGUAUGUAACUAAAAUUAAAUUAAAAAAUAAUUAGAAAAGAGUUAGAGAAGAAGACACCGUAAUUUUAUAGUGGUUCGGUUAAACUCAACCUACAUCCACUUUCCCAAGCACCUCUUGGGAUUUUGAUUGAAAAUCUUCUUUGGACUCUUUCCACGGAUUUGAGCCGAACCGAUUCUUGCUCCUUUUUCGGGUUCAAGAGCAAACCCGAUCCUUUCCACGGGUUAGGAUCCAACCGUUACAAUAUGUUGAAGUUUUUAAAUCACACAAAAGAAAACUCUCUAAAAGAGUGAGUAUACAAUUUGAAGCUCACAAAUUUAAUCCUCACAAUACAAUAAGAAGCUCUCAAGAAUAAGAUGAAAAGAAUAAAAAUUGGAAGCUUUAGAGAGAAUAACAAUGUUGGCUUUUUGCUUGAGGAUUGUAAAGAUUUGUGAUCUUGUGUAAAUGUGAAGUAUUUAAAAAGAGAGGAAAGAUAAAUUCAAAAUCAUUUGGGUCAUUAGAUAUAAGUAAAAGAAAAAUGAAUGGUUGAGAUUUAAACUUAAUUAGCCGUUAGACACAAUACAAAUAAUAAUAUAAUAAUAUGUCUUUUCAAAAUACUUUGUUUAAAAAGAAAUCAAUAAAGCAACUUCACCAUCUUUUAAAAAACUAGCCGUUAGACACAAGAAAAAUAAUAAUAUUAAAAUCAUUUUCUUUUAAAUUCAUUUUCUUUAUAAAAGCCAAUAAAACAUAACAAAAAGCCACAUUUGUUACUCCUUCAUUGCUCCAAGUGGCUUUCUCUAAUUGGUUCAAAUUGAAUGCUUGGUCGCCACGUCACCAUCUCGGGUAUUUUUCGUUAAGCUUCUUUUAGCAAUAUUUUCUUCAUUUGAACUUCGAUUUGGGUGAUUCAAGAGGCGUUAGAAUCAUUUUUCCAAGCUCUACGAUAUGGUCUAUUCAAAUUAAUAAAAUUGUCAAUAAAAAAAUCAGAUUUGUUAUCAUCAAAACAUAAAUUAAUUGAAUAAUUAAAAUAAAAAAUUUGAGAUUAAGGGCCAAAAAGCCAACAAUCUCCCCCUUUUUGAUGAUGACAAAUCAUUGAAGAAAAAUAACUUGAAACACACAUGAUCAACAAGUAAUUCUAUUAUCAAGAUGUAUAACCAUAAAGCUCAUGUAUAUAUUUCACCACAAAGAACAUACUUGAAAACAAUUGAUAAGAGAACCUUCUUUGUCCUUAAUUAAUUUUUUUCUCUAAAAAAAUAUGCAUUAUUCAAUAGAAACAAUUAUGCAACAAAUUGAUAAAAACAUAUUUUUCUUAUACUUCUCCCCCUUUGGAAUCAUCAAAAACAAUACCAAUGAAGUUAGCUCUCCCAAAAAACAUGAACACAUACAAAAUGUCUAAUUCCCCCUAUCAAUAUGCAUUACGGUAACAAUAUCAAGUAAGAUAUAAAAUCAAGAUGCAUCCAACGAAUAAUUCCAAGCUCAAGCCUAUUUUUACAAAAGCUUUCUUCACUCAAAGGCUUGGUAAAUAUAUCCGCUAAUUGAUUAUUGGACUUACAAACUCAAGAGUAAUAUGACCAUUUUGUACAUGCUCUCUAAUAAAGUGAUGCCUAAUAUCUAUAUGCUUAGUUCUAGAAUGAUGAAUAGGAUUCUUAGUCAAAUUUAUGGCACUAGUAUUAUCACAAAAUAUAGGCACAUUAUCAAAUUUUAAUCCAAAAUCACAAAGAGUUUGUUUCAUCCAAAGAAUUUGUGCACAACAACUAGCAACCGCAAUAUAUUCCGCUUCGGUAGUGGAUAAGGCAACCGAAUUUUGCUUUUUACUAAACCAAGAUACUAAGGAACUACCAAGAAAUUGACAAGUCCCACUAGUACUUUUACGGUCAAGUAAACUACCGGCAAAGUCCGCAUCGGAAUAUCCUACCAAAUUAAACUCAACAUUUCUAGGAUACCAUAAUCCAACAUCAAUAGUUCCAAGCAAAUAUUUAAGUAUCCUUUUAACGGCAUGGAAAUGUGAUUCUUUAGGACAAGAUUGAAAUCUAGCACAAAGACAUACACUAAACAUGAUAUCGGGUCUACUAGCGGUCAAAUAAAGUAAAGAUCCGAUCAUACCUCGAUAAGUCUUUAUAUCCACACACUUACCUUUUUCAUCUUUGUCAAGCUUAGUGGUAGUGCUCAUAGGAGUUUUUGCAACUUUACCUUCAUUUAAUUUGAAUUUCUUGAGCAAAUCCCUUGUGUAUUUUUCUUGACUUAUGAAGAUGCCAUCCUUGAGUUGUUUGAUUUGAAGACCAAGGAAGAAACUAAGUUCUCCCAUCAUACUCAUCUCAAACUCAUUAUGCAUACACUUGGAAAAUUCUUCACACAAAGAUGAAUUAGUAGAACCAAAUAUAAUAUCAUCCACAUAAAUUUGUACUAUAAGCAUGUCAUUAUUUUUAACUUUAAUAAAUAGAGUAUUAUCAAUUUUUCCCAUCUUAAAGUCAUUCUCAAGUAAAAACUUGCUAAGUCUAUCAUACCAAGCUCUUGGAGCUUGUUUUAAGCCAUAAAGAGCCUUUUUCAAUUUAUAAACAUGAUUAGGUAAAUCAAAACUUUCAAAGCCCGGAGGUUGUUCUACGUAAACUUCUAGGUUCAAUUUGAGACACAAAAGCAAGAUUACUAAAUAAAUUAAGAGAAGAACGAGUUUUGACACCUUGUUCGGGAUUGCCAAGAAUUAGAUCCUUGGGAUGGAAUAGAGCAUAUCUCCACUCUUUAGGCAAGGAUAAAGAACCCAUUUCUUUCUUUUCUAUGAUGUUCACAUCUUGCAUACUUGGAACAAUUUCUUUGCCUUUGUCAUUAACAAGUAAAUCUCCAAAAUCUUUUUCUAAAUCAUCACUACAAUAGACUCAUUAGAAACAUUAUUCAAGAUUCAUCAAAUAUAACAUGAAUAGAUUCCUCAAUAACUAAAGUUUUCUUAUUGAAAACUCUAUAAGCUUUACUAGUAGAGGAAUAUCCUAAAAAAAUACCAACAUCCGUCUUAGAAUCAAAUUUUCCAAGUUUUUCUUUGUUAUUCAAAAUAAAACAUUUACAACCGAAAACUUUGAAAUACCCAAUAUUUGGAAUUUUACCAUGCCAAGUUCAUAAGGAGUUUUAUCUAAAGAGGGUCUAACUAAAACUCUAUUUGAAACAUAGCAAGCUGGUUUAACGGCUUCCGCCCCAAAAAUAUUUAGGUAAACCAUACUCAUUCAACAUUGAUCUAGCAAAUUCUUGCCAAAGUACGAUUUUCCUUUCAACUACACCAUUUUGCUACUUCCUCUGCUCGAAAUGCAUCUAAAAAUUUUUAGGGAUGCAUAUAAUCAUUGGACAAAUGCCAAUGACAAGGCCUGUGUGUAUCUCUUGUCUAGUAUGUCUGACAUACUAAGCAAGAAACACAAAAACCAUGGUCAUUAGACGUCAGAUCAAGGAUUCGCUUCAAGAUAUAUUUAAGAAGAAUUAAAAAGAAAGUAAAUAUAAUUUACUUGCCUUAGAAACAUGUUUAGUGGAAAAUGACCAAAAUGUCUCUAGAUACUUGAUUUAGAGCCACUAGUCAUCUUUGCUCUUCUUUACAUAAAACUAGUUCCUUUAAGCAGCUCGAGGAGAUGAGAUACACUCAAAGUUAAAAACGAGAGAUGCCAUUUCAGCUCGUGUAAUGGGAGAUGUUAAAUUUUCUUUUAAAAUAGAUUCUUGUUUCUAAAAAACUUGAUAUAGUUCCUAAGAUUAAAAAGGAAUCUUAUAUUUAUUUCUUGUCUUAUUGAACAAUCAUAUAAUGUAACAUUUUCUUUAAAUGAAGUGUUCAUUUCUAAGAAUGGUGUACACAUUUGUUCAGCCUAAGCUUGAAGACAACUUUUGUAUGUAUUAAGACCUAACAAAGCGAAAGCAAUUUUAAAUCAUGAGAUGUUUAAAACUGCUAAUACUCAAAAUAAUACCUAUCUUUGGCAUUCAAGAUUAGGUCAUAUUAAUCUCGAUAGGAUCGGGAGAUUGGUAAAGAAUGGACUUCUAAAUGAGUUAGAAGAUGAUUCAUUGCCUCCAUGUGAAUCUUGUCUUGAAGAAAAGUUGACUAAAGAGACCUUUUACUAGAAAAUGCUAUGGAGCCAAAGAGCCCAUAGAACUUAUACAUUCAGACCACUAUGGUCCAAUGAAUGUAAAAGCUAGAGAAGGUUUUGAAUACUUCAUCUCUUUUAUAGAUGAUUAUUCAAGGUAUGAUUAUUUAUACUUAAUGAAACGUAAGUCUGAAGCUCUUGGAAAGUUCAAGAAGUAUAAGGCUGAAGUUAAAAAUCUAUCAAGUAAAAAAAUUAAAAUACUUUUAUCUGAUCGAGGUGGAGAGUAUAUGGAUUUGAGAUUCCAGGACUAUAUGAUAGAACAUGGAAUCCAAUUACAACUUUCAGCACCUGGUACACCUCAACAAAAUGGUAUAUUAGAAAUGAGAAAUAAAACCUUGUUAGACAUGGUUCGUUUAAUGAUGAGUCAUGCUCAAUUGCCUUGCUCGUUUUGGGGGUAUGCAGAUUGAACAAUGUUCCUCGAAAAGUGUUUCUAAAAUACCUUUCUGUAACGAUCCAACACUUUAUACUAAGGUGAGAUCAUUACCACUAAAACAAAUAAAGACUUUUUAUUUAAAUCAAAGAAAAUACUAAGUUUUAAAAAGAAACACUCAUAAAAUAUAAGUAAAGUAUAUAAUAAAAUAUUAGUUCGGAACCUAUUUAAAAUAAAAAAAAUAUAUCUAAAAGUAAACAUGGGUUCUGAAAUAAAUUUAAUACUCAAAACAUAAAUGUGGAAGAAAACAUAAGAUGUUCCCUAUGACGAUCCACGGUCACUUCUUGCCAUUCGCGAGCUUGCCUUUACCUGCUCCUUUACCUGAAAAAUUAAACAUAGAAAAGGGUGAGUAUAAAUUUAUACUAAGUAAGAGACCCACUACUACUCCUGCUACGUGUCUGUUAACCUCUCGUUAUAGUCCUGUAAGAAAAUAUCGAAUAUCUAUUGUGCUCCCAAACGUACGCUAUCCAGUGAUCUUGUAGGAACACAUCUAGACUCUUGGUGAACCCGAAGGAGUCACCCUAAAGAAGUGUAAGUGAUCCUAUUGAUUCACAUAUAAAAGCUAAGCCACACAAACAUAAAUAGGUGGUGAUCCCGAGGGACACCCAUAUGAUACGACUCUAACAGGUAAAGCUAACACAACAUCAUAGUCUAUACAUAUAACAUAACAUAAAUAACAUAUCUCAAACAUGAUGUAUCUCAACCAUAGUAUAUCUCAUUCAUAACAUAUCGUGGUCAUCACAUAUCUUAGUCAUACAUAACGAUUUUUUAUGUAGCUAUCAUUAUCUAACAUUCUUCACAGUCACAUCACAUGCAUCAUGGCUACGUUAAUGCAUACUAAGGGAAAACAUAAUGUAAGGAUCUAAUAAUAAAACUUCUUACCUGGAGAUUAAUUAUCAACUAAUUCAGUCAUAAACAUAAACAAAAUUAAAAUUAUUAAUUUUGUCAACCAUCACCCAACUAUUUAAUUAAGCAUCCAAACUUCCAACUAUUUAAUUAAGCAUCCAAACUGACCCCCAAGAUUAAGGUUGAAUCAAACAAAACCUUGAAUGGAAAAUUUCGGAGUCUCAAAUCCUCAAAUUAACACUUGAACCUUCAAACAAAAAUAAUUUAACUCAUUCCAUUGUAAACUUAUUUAAGAUCCAAAAAAUAUUCAUUUGGGCAUACCAAACCAACACAGCUCAAGAGAUACCAAAAAGCAACUUGGCUUAAACUAAGGCAGAAAUGGCCCACGCGGCUCUGCAGGAGGAGAAUCGACUUGGCAGUCAGCUCGGGUGCACAACUCACAAAAGGAGAAAGAAAUCGGCUGUGACAAGCGCGAUUUACGAAGGAGUAGAUAAGUGGCUCUGUGAUGCACAGAUCGACUUGCUCAAGCAAGGGUUCGUUUAACGAUUGCCGGCAAUGAGAUCUGGGUGGCACGAGACAGAACUUAACGACGGUAAGGCUUAAUGAAAACGUUCAAAAACUAGAUGAUUGAUGAAAUGAAAAGAGAGAGAUUCCUCGGCUUCACCUACAUGCAAACGUAGGAGGUGGGGGGUGCAUAGUCGGCUUGUGCGACUUCGUCACUAAGGAACAAAGAGGAAUGACGGUGUCAACAAACGACGAGCGGUGAUCCUUGCAACGGAGCACGAUGGCGGCUGGGGUUUGUGAAGAAUUAAGAAGAUGAUGAAUAGUUCCCUUUUUUGCACGUUUCACAAGGGUUAAUUAUAUAUAAUAAUAAUAAUGAUAUUUAUUAUUAUUAUCAUUAUUCCUUUUCUUUUGCUAAUUAACAAAUUAACCAAAAUCAAAUCAUACUUUCUCUCCUCGUUAAAUACCCAUCAAACCAAACUUUUUACUUUCCCCAAAAAUACAAUAUCUUUCCAAAUAAUUAGAUUUUCCACAAUAUAAUUAUUUUCUCUCUAAAAAAUAUCUUUCCUAAAAAAAAUCAAUAAUAUAUUAUUCUACCCUUCCAUAACUUAAUUAAUUAUAUACAUAUAUAAUUAACCAAUAAACUUAAAUCUCACCAAAAUUUUCAAUAGUAUAAUUAAUUAAAUAAUCUUCCACUGAACAUUCAAUUAAUCACAAUUUCCACAAUACUAAAAAAAUUAUAACACCCAAUUAAAUCCAUCAUAAAUUAAAUUAAACUAAGAUAAUUAAAAAAAUAAAAUUACCUUAAUUUUUGGGUGUUACAGUUUUUGAAUUUAAAUAAUUUUUAGACGUAACCAGCCUUAAGGACAGCAUGUUGUACAAGUUAUCGACCCUACUGCACCUGUCACUCAUGCAUACCUUGCUGCCAUGGAGCAAAUGUACAUAGACUUAUUGUUCAAAGUAUUGGCACAGUGACAACCUACCUAGGAUAUCCAAACAACUCAUGUACGGACACCGGCUGCAAGUGUUUAGAUCCCAGUUGCGGGAGUUUAGGCCCCAAUUGUAGCAUAUAACCUACUUGAUAUGCUUUCAGCAGAAGCCAAACACCUGAGGGAUUUCAGGAAGUAUAACCCUCGGACUUUCGAUGGAUCCUUGGCAAACUCCACCAAGGCGCAGAUGUGGUUGAGUUCGGUGAAGACUAUCUUUCGUUACAUGAAGUGCUCCAAUGACCAGAAAGUUUAGUGCGUCGUGUUCUUACUGACUGAUAGAGACAGAGGCUAGUGGAAGUCCACAUAGAGGAUGUUGGGUGGAGAUAUGAGUCAGAUCACCUAAAAGUAGUUUAAGGAGAAUUUUCAUGCCAAAUUCUUCUUCGUGUCAAGAGUUCUUAAAGUUGGAGCAAGGCAAUAUGGCCAUAGAGGAGUAUGAUCAAGAAUUCGAUGUGUUAUCCCGAUUUGCACCUGAGUUAGUGAGAACUGAGACUGAGAGAGUUGACAAGUUUGUCAAAGGCAUUAAGUAGGAGAUCCAGGGUUUCGUUAGAGUCUUUAGACUAGCUACCUAAGAUGAUGCACUACACAUGACAGUGGAUUUGAGUUUGCAUGAGAGGAUAAAGAUGGCCAAGGCUGUAGAGAAUGGUCCAAUUGUAGGGUAGAAAAGGAAGGCUUAGCAGUAGCCUACAGUAGCACCACAAAGGAAUUUGAGAUUAGGUGGUUUGUUCCAGCAGCUUAGACAGUAGGUUGUUGAGGCAGGCAAAACCUUGAAGGAAGUAUACAUGUGUUCUAAUUGUGAAAGGUCUCAUUCAGGUCAUUGCCUAAUAGGAAGUAGUAUAUGCUACAAGUGUAGGCAACCUGACAUAUAUAUAGCUGAUAAUUACCCUCAGAAAUAGUUUGAACCUAUCUCGAACUAGACUUCUACAUCUCGAUAGGGGUGAGUUUUUGCCACUAAUCAACAGGAGGCUGAGAAAGCUUACACAGUGGUGAUAGGUACACUCCUAAUCUUGGAGCACUUUGCUUUAUUAUUAUUUGACUCGGGGUCCUCUCAUUCUUUUAUAUCGCCAAUUUUUGUUCAACAUAUGAGUUUACAAGUAGAACCCUUGAGUUAUAUGUUAUUUGUCUCUACUCCAUCUGGAGAAAUUAUGUUGUCGAAAGGAAAGAUAAAAACAUGUUAAAUAGAAAUAGCAUAUCAUGUUUUAGAUGUAACUUUAUUAGUAUUACACAUGCAAGACUUUGAUGUAAUAUCGGGCAUGAAUUGGCUAUCUGCUAACCAUGCAAACAUAGAUUAUUCUCGCAAGGAGGUAGUUUUUAACCCUCAUGAGGCGACUAGUUUAAAGUAUAAGGGGGCGGGGACUGUGGCCUACCCAAAGUUAUCUCAACCAUGAAGGCCAGUAAGUUGUUCAACCAAGGUACUUAGAGUAUCUUGGCUAGUGUUGUAGAUACCAGAGAGCCCGAUGUAUCCUUAUCAUCUGAAUGAAUGGUAAGGAAAUACCCCGAUGUUUUUUUAGAAGAGCUUUCAAGACUUUCUCCUCACAAAGAGGUUGAUUUUGCUAUUGAACUGAAACCAGGCACUGGUCCCAUAUCGAGAGCUCCAUACAGAAUGGCUCCAGCUGAGCUGAAGGAGUUGAAGGUCUAGUUGCAAGAAUUAUAGGACAAGGGCUUUAUUCGAUCUAGUAUGUCACCUUGGGGAGCACCACAUUAUUUGUGAAGAAGAAAGAUGGGUUGAUGUGUCUUUGCAUUUACUAUAAAAAGCUUAAUAAGGUGAUAGUCAAGAACAAAUAUUCAUUGCCCAGGAUUGAUGGCUUGUUUGAUCAGUUUUAGGGAGCCACUGUGUUCUCUAAGAUCAAUUUACGAUCAGGAUAUCACCAGUUGAGGAUUAGAGACAGUGAUAUUCCCAAGACUGCCUUUCCAGAUAUGGACAUUACGAGUUUAUUGUGAUGUCCUUUGGCUCGACAAAUGCUCCUGGUGUAUUUAUGGAUUUGAUGAAUAAGGUGGUGCUUAAGGAUUUCUUAGACACUUCUGUGAUAUUUUUUAUUGAUCACAUCUUGGUUUACUCCAAGACAGAGGCUGAGCAUGAGGAGUAUUUGCAUAAGGUAUUAGAGACUCUUCGAGCCAAUAGGCUAUAUGCCAAGUUUUCCAAGUGUGAGUUUUGACUGAAGCAAGUUUUGUUCCUUGGCCAUGUAGUGUCCAGUGAAGGAGUUAUUAUAGACCCAGCAAAGAUUAAAGUUGUUACCAUUUGGCCUCGACCUUGUACAGUCAGUGAAGUUUAAAGUUUUUUGGGUUUAAUAGGUUAUUACAGAAGGUUCGUGGAAGGCUUCUCUCGUAUAGCUAGUCCUUUGACCUAGCUAACCAGGAAGGGGAAUCCUUUUGUUUGGAGCCCAGCAUGUGAGAGCAGUUUCCAGGAUCUUAAACAGAAACUUGUUACUACACCAGUCCUUAUAGUGCCAGAUGGAUCUGGGAGUUAUGUGAUUUACAGCGAUGCCUCUUAGAAAGGAUUGAGUUGUGUAUUGAUGCAAUAAGGUAAGGUGGUUGUUUAUGCCUCUCCUCAGUUGAAGAGCCAUGAGCAGAACUACCCUACACAUGAUUUAGAGUUUGGCAGCAAUAUUUUUGCACUUAAGAUUUGGAGGCAUUAUUUAUAUGGUGAGAAGAUUCAGAUCUUCAUUGACCAUAAGAGCUUGAAUUGGUCAAGGACUUAAAUAUGAGAUAAAUAUGAGAUAGCGCGGAUGGCUCGAGUUGGUCAAGGACUACGAUCAUGAGAUCGUGAGUUAGUAGGAAGGUAUCAUACUCUGUAGCACUCAUUACUAGUCAGGUUCCUUUGCACAGAGAUCUUGAGAGAGCUAAGAUUGCAUUUUUAGUAGGAGAAGUCACCUCACAGUUAGCUCCGCUGUCAGUACAACCAACUUUGAGGCAGAGAAUUAUUAUUGCUCAGCUCACUGAUCCUUAUUUGGUUGAUAGUCACUUUUUAUGAUUAUGAAAUAUGACAAAUGGAUGUUAAUACUGCUUUUCUAAGUGGCAAUCUUGAAGAAAGUAUCUUUAUGUCUCAGCCUGAGGGGUUCAUAACCCAAGGUUAGAAACAAAAAGUUUACAAGCUGAAUCGAUCCAUUUAUGGGUUGAAAUAAACAUCUAGUUUGAACAUUAGAUUUGAUAUUGCGAUCAAAUCUUACGGUUUUGACCAAAAUGUUGAUGAGCCUUGUGUAUACAAGAAAAUCAACAAAGAUAAAGUAGCUUUCUUAGUACUUUAUGUGGACGAUAUUCUUCUCACUGGAAAUGAUGUAGGAUACCUAACUAACGUUAUAAACUUGGCUACCAGUCCAAUUCUAAAUGAAAGGGAGAGGCACAAUUUGUUCUUGGGAUCCAAAUCAUAAGGGAUCGUAAGAACAAAAUGCUAGCACUGUCUCAGGCAACCUAGUAAUUAAUUAAUUGGAAAAGUAAUUAAUUAAAUUAAAUCAUGAAUAUACACAUAAAUGUAGCAAAACCCAAAAAUAUUUACGUCGCAUGUAACAAAAAUUAAAGCACAUGAAGCACCAUUAUUUUUUUUUAUAAAUUUCAGAUUUUCCCUUUGUCAUUAUUUUUGCGCAUUGUGAAACCAUUCUUCACUUCACUUCUUUUUCUUCUUCUUUGCAAUUUAUUCUUUUCUUCUUCGUAUUAUUAAUUUCUUCAUAUUAUUACUUCUCUUUCAUAUUCUCACUUCUUCUUGUCUGUGAUUUCUUCAUUUCCUUUUUCAAAAUUUCUUUCUUCUUCAUCUCUCAUCUUCUUUUUUUGCUUCUUGGUACAAGAUCUAAAUGAUAUUAGUACAUGAUUUAAAUGAUAAUGUAUCAAUAUCUAAAUCAUCAGUUGUCUAUCCCAGAUAAACAGACAUAGACCACUGUUACUAAUGGAUCGUUUAGAUUUGGUACAAUAUUGUUUAGACUAAAUAAAAAGAUCGUUUAUGUUGGGAUUUAUGUCCUAAAACUCGUAGAUUGUAAAUAUAAUCCAUUAAUCGUUGUUUAAUAACAUGUUAUUAUUGUAAUAAUUAUUAUUGGUUAUAAUAUUAGUUGUCUUAAUAACUCAAAUCAAACAAACUAACAUCCUAAGUUGUUUAAUGAAUCUUAAACAGUAUGUAGAGACAUACAGGGAUAAAGGUUCAAGAUCAGCUUAAAGGUUCUAUAGUACAAGGAUAAGGCUGAAUACCUAAUCCUGGUAACACUAUGAAUAUGGCUCACUUUGUAUUUGAUACAAACACAAUGAUUCAACGCGUUUGUGUAGUUGACAUACGAGUGACGGUAUCUUAUGCAAUAAGUUUACAUAAGAUCAGACGGCAAAAUAAUAACUACUAGAUGAAACUCUGUUUACUAGUCAGGUUUUUAUUCAUUAGGAUGACCUAGGUAACUUAGUUUUAAUUGUAACGCCCCAACUUUUCUAGAAGGUUGAGGUCAUUACUAUUUAAGUAAAUAUAUAUUUUUUUUAAUAUACAAGAAAAUAAAUUAAAAUUUGAGGAAAAACUUUAAAUAAUAAGUAGUUAAAAUAACUGAUCAAAAUACCAGUUUGGGCCCAAAAAUAGAAGAAAUACUUAAAGUAAUUGAACCAGAGUUCUGAAAUAAACCUAUGAAAAUAUAACUAUUGAAAUAUAAAUGCGGAAGAAAACUGAAUUGUUCCCUAUGGCGAUCUAUGAUCACUUCUUAUCAUUCGCUAUUAUGCCCUUGCCUCUACCCUUACCUGAAAUUAAACAUUUAAAAGAGUGAGUAUAAAUUUAUACUUAGUAAGAGACCCAUAGUGGUCUCACUAUGUGUCUGUUAACCUUUCGUUAGAGUCCUGUAACAUGGUACCGCAUACUAUUGCGCUCCCGAACGCAUACUAUCAAGUGGUUCCGUAGGGACACAUCUAGGCUCUCGGUGAACCCGAAGGAAUCAUCCUAUAGGAGAGUCAGACUGUAAGUGAUCCCGUCGAAUCACAUCUCAAACAAGUCACACAUGCAUACAUAGGUGGUGACCCUGAUGGACCCCCAUACGGUACAACUCUAAUAGGCAAAACUAACAGAACACUAUAGCCUAUACAUGUUUAUCAUAAGAUCAACAUCUUAGCUCAAUUACACAUAACUCAAAAGUAACAUAUUUGAUUAUAGCAUGCCUCAACAAAUAAUACUAUAUCUAAAUCAUAAUAUGGUUUUCAAAGUAACUAUUUAUACGACCAUCUCAAACAACAUAAUUCAACUCAUUCCAGUGCUAACUCAUUUUAGACCCAAAACAAUAAUUAUUUGGGUGUACCAAACCCAACGAGAAUUAAGCAAAAACUCACCAAGGGCUUAAAUAUGUUGCAGACGGCUAAAACUGAAGGUGGCUCGACUAACAACGCUUCAGCUCGAGUCUUGAGACUCACGGCUGGCAUACGACUCACACAGGAAUGGCUCGGUUGCGCGUGGCUCGCGUAUGGCUUACACGAAACGGCUCGGAUCCACAGAGAUGACUCACGAGGCUCGGUGAAGGAAUACGACUCGAACUAACACGACUUGACAUGUGGCUCGCAAAAAGAAAACUUUCACAGCUUGCAUCCUUCACUGUCAAGCACGAUGAUGUCCGGCGGUGCUGUGCGAGUGGAGGCAACGACGGGUGAUGGUUUCGACGGAAGAGAGGGUUCUGACCGAUGAUGUGGAGGAGGAACGCACAGAGGAAGACAGGGGUCGUUCGACGGUUCGAUGCAACACGCGUCGACACGGCUGGAGAGAAACGAACGGUUGUGCUUCGUGACCGUGACGCUUCGACUAUGCGACUGUGACAGGGACUCUCUCACCGGAGUGCUGCAUUCGAUGAUGGCUGGAGGAGCGGGGCGACAGCUACUCUAGGGUUAAAUGGUGAAGAAGAAAGAGUGGGGUGGAGAAGAUGAGCACGAAAUACGAGAGAGACUUAUUUAAUAUAUACAAUAAUAAUAAGUAUUAUUAUUAUUAUUGUCAUUAUCUUUAUUAUCAUUAUUUAAUUUCCCCAACGAACUCAUUUUUUUCUAUUUCAAUUAAUUUUUCUCUUUCUUCAUUACUAACUCAAUCCAUCAUCAAUAACUUCUCUCGUUUCCUUAAUAAUUAUAUUAUCCCAUAAUAUAAUUAUUCUUAUUCGUCUAUAACUUUGCUUAUACCCAUAAACAAUAAUUACUCAUAAUACUUUCAACUUUACAAAUUUAAUUUACCAACCAAUCAAUCCAAAAAUUACCACUUUAACAAAAUGAUUUCAAAUUUCAGAAUUAACCACAUAUCAUUCCAACGCACUUAACUUCCACAAAUCAAAUAAUUUCACACAUAACACCCAAUUUUUUUUAAUAUAACCCACAUUAAAGUUAACUUACUAGUUUUGGGGUGUUGUAAUCUUUCCUCCUUUGAGAAACUUUCGUCCUUGAAAGAUCUAAUCCUCGAAUAGCUCGGGAUAAUGCGCUCUCAUGUUGUCCUCUUUCUCUCAAGUAGCUUCCUCAACCUCGUGGUUUCGCCACAAAACCUUGACCAAUGUAAUUCCUCUGUUACAAAGCAGUUUAACUUCCUUAGCCAAAAUCUCAACUGGCCGCUCCUCAUAGCUUAAGUUGUCGUUAAUUUGCAACGGUUUGUAGUCGACUAUAUGUGAGGGAUCUGCCACAUACUUCCUCAGCAUGGAGACAUGAAACACAUCAUGAACUGCAGAUAAUUGCGGAGGCAAGGCCAAAUGAUAAGCUACAGGGCCAAUCCUUUCAAGAAUCUCAAACGACCCUACAAAACGUGGACUCAACUUCCCUUUCUUCUCGAAUCUUAGAACACCCUUU